rnacentral:rRNA from 1 species
CCUGGCGGCGAGCGGCGAACGGGUGAGUAAUACAUCGGAACGUGUCCCGUAGUGGGGGAUAGCCCGGCGAAAGCCGGAUUAAUACCGCAUAUGCUCUACGGAGGAAAGUGGGGGACUCGCAAGGGCCUCACGCUAUGGGAGCGGCCGAUGUCCGAUUAGCUUGUUGGCGGGGUAAUGGCCCACCAAGGCGACGAUCGGUAGCUGGUCUGAGAGGAUGAUCAGCCACACUGGGACUGAGACACGGCCCAGACUCCUACGGGAGGCAGCAGUGGGGAAUUUUGGACAAUGGGGGAAACCCUGAUCCAGCCAUGCCGCGUGCGGGAAGAAGGCCUUCGGGUUGUAAACCGCUUUUGGUCGGAAAGAAAAGGCGCUCUCUAAUACGGGGCGUUCUUGACGGUACCGGCAGAAUAAGCACCGGCUAACUACGUGCCAGCAGCCGCGGUAAUACGUAGGGUGCGAGCGUUAAUCGGAAUUACUGGGCGUAAAGCGUGCGCAGGCGGUUCUCCAAGUCCGUUGUGAAAGCCCCGGGCUCAACCUGGGAAUGGCAGUGGAAACUAGGGGACUUGAAUCUGGCAGAGGGGGGUGGAAUUCCACGUGUAGCAGUGAAAUGCGUAGAGAUGUGGAGGAACACCGAUGGCGAAGGCAGCCCCCU